UACGUAGGGCGCAAGCGUUGUCCGGAAUUAUUGGGCGUAAAGAGCUCGUAGGCGGUUUGUCGCGUCUGCCGUGAAAACCCGAGGCUUAACCUCGUGGCUUGCGGUGGAUACGGGCAGACUAGAGGUAGGUAGGGGAGAAUGGAAUUCCCGGUGUAGCGGUGAAAUGCGCAGAUAUCGGGAGGAACACCGGUGGCGAAGGCGGUUCUCUGGGCCGAUACUGACGCUGAGGAGCGAAAGCGUGGGUAGCAAACAGG
rnacentral:rRNA from 1 species